rnacentral:tRNA from 1 species
CGAAGAAUAGUUUAGUUCAGAAUCUUA